GACGAACGCUGGCGGCGUGCUUAACACAUGCAAGUCGUACGGUAAGGCCCUUUCGGGGGUACCCGAGUGGCGAACGGGUGAGUAACACGUGCGUAACCUGCCCACAACUUUGGGAUAACGCUAGGAAACUGGUGCUAAUACUGGAUAUGUGCUCCUGCUGCAUGGUGGGGGUUGGAAAGCUCCGGCGGUUGUGGAUGGACUCGCGGCCUAUCAGCUUGUUGGUGGGGUAGUGGCCUACCAAGGCGGCGACGGGUAGCCGGCCUGAGAGGGUGACCGGCCACAUUGGGACUGAGAUACGGCCCAGACUCCUACGGGAGGCAGCAGUGGGGAAUAUUGCACAAUGGGCGCAAGCCUGAUGCAGCAACGCCGCGUGCGGGAGGACGGCCUUCGGGUUGUAAACCGCUUUCAGCAGGGACGAAGCUUUUUGUGACGGUACCUGCAGAAGAAGCACCGGCUAACUACGUG
rnacentral:rRNA from 1 species